rnacentral:rRNA from 1 species
CUACGUGCCAGCAGCCGCGGUAAUACGGAAGGUCCAGGCGUUAUCCGGAUUUAUUGGGUUUAAAGGGUGCGUAGGCCGUUUGAUAAGCGUGCUGUGAAAUAUAGUGGCUCAACCUCUAUCGUGCAGCGCGAACUGUCGAACUUGAGUGCGUAGUAGGUAGGCGGAAUUCGUGGUGUAGCGGUGAAAUGCUUAGAUAUCACGAAGAACUCCGAUUGCGAAGGCAGCUUACUGUAGCGCAACUGACGCUGAUGCUCGAAAGCGUGGGUAUCGAACAGGAUUAGGUACCCUGGUAGUCCACGCGGUAAACGAUGGAUGCUCGUUGUUGGCCCUUAUGGUCAGUGACCAAGCGAAAGCGUUAAGCAUCCCACCUGGGGAGUACGCCGGCAACGGUGAAACUCAAAGGAAUUGACGGGGGCCCGCACAAGCGGAGGAACAUGUGGUUUAAUUCGAUGAUACGCGAGGAACCUUACCCGGGCUUGAAC